rnacentral:rRNA from 1 species
UACGUAGGGUGCAAGCGUUUAAUCGGAAUUACUGGGCGUAAAGCGUGCGCAGGCGGUUGUGCAAGACAGAUGUGAAAUCCCCGGGCUUAACCUGGGAAUUGCAUUUGUGACUGCACGGCUAGAGUGUGUCAGAGGGGGGUAGAAUUCCACGUGUAGCAGUGAAAUGCGUAGAUAUGUGGAGGAAUACCGAUGGCGAAGGCAGCCCCCCUGGGAUAACACUGACGCUCAUGCACGAAAGCGUGGGGAGCAAACAGG